UACGAAGGGCGCAAGCGUUAUCCGGAAUUAUUGGGCGUAAAGAGCUCGUAGGCGGUUUGUCGCGUCUGCCGUGAAAGUCCGGGGCUCAACUCCGGAUCUGCGGUGGGUACGGGCAGACUAGAGUGAUGUAGGGGAGACUGGAAUUCCUGGUGUAGCGGUGAAAUGCGCAGAUAUCAGGAGGAACACCGAUGGCGAAGGCAGGUCUCUGGGCAUUAACUGACGCUGAGGAGCGAAAGCAUGGGGAGCGAACAGG
rnacentral:rRNA from 1 species